rnacentral:rRNA from 1 species
UACGUAGGGUGCGAGCGUUAAUCGGAAUUACUGGGCGUAAAGUGUGCGCAGGCGGCCGCGCAAGUCGAGUGUGAAAUCCCCGAGCUUAACUUGGGAAUUGCGCUCGAAACUACGUGGCUGGAGUGUGGCAGAGGAAGGUGGAAUUCCACGUGUAGCGGUGAAAUGCGUAGAGAUGUGGAGGAACACCGAUGGCGAAGGCAGCCUUCUGGGCCAACACAUGACGCUCGAUGCACGAAAGCGUGGGUAGCAAACAGG